AUAACAGUUGGAAACGGCUGCUAAUACCGCAUAAGCGCACAGCAUCGCAUGAUGCAGUGUGAAAAACUCCGGUGGUAUAAGAUGGACCCGCGUUGGAUUAGCUAGUUGGUGAGGUAACGGCCCACCAAGGCGACGAUCCAUAGCCGACCUGAGAGGGUGACCGGCCACAUUGGGACUGAGACACGGCCCAAACUCCUACGGGAGGCAGCAGUGGGGAAUAUUGCACAAUGGGCGAAAGCCUGAUGCAGCGACGCCGCGUGAGCGAAGAAGUAUUUCGGUAUGUAAAGCUCUAUCAGCAGGGAAGAUAAUGACGGUACCUGACUAAGAAGCACCGGCUAAAUACGUGCCAGCAGCCGCGGUAAUACGUAUGGUGCAAGCGUUGUCCGGAUUUACUGGGUGUAAAGGGAGCGCAGGCGGUGCGGCAAGUCUGAUGUGAAAGCCCGGGGCUCAACCCCGGUACUGCAUUGGAAACUGUCGUACUAGAGUGUCGGAGGGGUAAGCGGAAUUCCUAGUGUAGCGGUGAAAUGCGUAGAUAUUAGGAGGAACACCAGUGGCGAAGGCGGCUUACUGGACGAUAACUGACGCUGAGGCUCGAAAGCGUGGGGAGCAAACAGGAUUAGAUACCCUGGUAGUCCACGCCGU
rnacentral:rRNA from 1 species